AUGGCGGCGAAACCGGAGGCCACGGCGGCCGCGGGGAAAGAACCGUGUCCGUGCUCUGUGGUCUGGACGCGGUCACCGGCGGCGGCGGCCAAGCACAAGAGAAGGCAGCGGAGCUCGAAGCAUCGGAAGGAGGCGGCCAGGUACAAGAAGAGAUGCGAGGAAUUCGAGCGUCUUGCCAAGUACUGGACGCUCUACGUCGUGCUGGCUGCCGUGUUCGUGCUCGCGGCGCUCUGCCUCCGCCAUUGGAGCUCCCUCGCCGCCCAGGUCUGCGCGGUCAUGGCGGCCGGGUGGAUGCUUGGCGUCGCCAGGGUCACCACACUCCUUCGACGGGUCUUCUCACGGGACGACUUGUUCAGGCCCGAUUAUGACGAGCCGUGGGACUAA
rnacentral:rRNA from 1 species